rnacentral:rRNA from 1 species
UUGACCUCAAAUCAGGUAGGACUACCCGCUGAACUUAAGCAUAUCAAUAAGCGGAGGAAAAGAAACUAACAAGGAUUCCCUUAGUAACUGCGAGUGAAGAGGGAAGAGCUCAAAUUUAAAAUCUGGCAGUGUUUUGCUGUCCGAGUUGUAAUCUAGAGAAGUGCUGCCCGUGCUGGACCAUGUACAAGUCUCCUGGAAUGGAGCGUCACAGAGGGUGAGAAUCCCGUCUUUGACAUGGACUACCAGUGCAUUUGUGGUGUGCUCUCAAAGAGUCGAGUUGUUUGGGAAUGCAGCUCUAAAUGGGUGGUAAACUCCAUCUAAAGC